rnacentral:rRNA from 1 species
AUUGAACGCUGGCGGCAGGCCUAACACAUGCAAGUCGAACGAGUGGCGGACGGGUGAGUAAUGUCUGGGAAACUGCCUGAUGGAGGGGGAUAACUACUGGAAACGGUAGCUAAUACCGCAUACCAUCGGAUGUGCCCAGAUGGGAUUAGCUAGUAGGUGGGGUAAAGGCUCACCAAGGCGACGAUCCCUAGCUGGUCUGAGAGGAUGACCAGGCACAGUGGAACUGAGACACGGGCCAGACUCCUACGCGAUGCAGCAGUAUGUAAUAUUACACAAGGGGCGCAAGCCUGAUGCAGCCAUGCCGCGUGUAUGAAGAAGGCUUUCGGGUUGUAAAGUACUUUCAGCGGGGAGGCGUUACCCGCAGAAGAAGCACCGGCUAACUCCGUGCCAGCCGCCGCGGUAAUGC